rnacentral:rRNA from 1 species
AGGACGAACGCUGGCGGCGUGCCUAACACAUGCAAGUGGAGCGACGAACCGGGCUUCGGCCCGGGGCAAAGCCGCGAACGGGUGAGUAACACGUGGGUAACCUGCCCCGAUGAUUGGGACAACCCGAGGAAACUCGGGCUAAUACCGAAUGUGCCCUCCGGCCUCAAGGCCGCUGGGGAAAGGAAGCUUCGGCCUCCGCAUCGGGAUGGGCCCGCGGCCCAUUAGCUUGUUGGUGAGGUAACGGCUCACCAAGGCGACGAUGGGUAGCUGGUCUGAGAGGACGAUCAGCCACACUGGGACUGAGACACGGCCCAGACUCCUACGGGAGGCAGCAGUGGGGGAAUAUUGGACAAUGGGCGCAAGCCUGAUCCAGCCAUGCCGCGUGGAUGAUGAAGGCCUUAGGGUUGUAAAGUCCUUUUAACGGGGAAGAUAAUGACGGUACCCGUAGAAUAAGCCCGGCUAACUUCGUGCCAGCAGCCGC